rnacentral:rRNA from 1 species
GACAGAGGGUGCAACCGUUGUUCGGAAUUACUGGGCGUAAAGCGUGUGUAGGCGGCUCCGCAAGUCGGAUGUGAAAGCCCCGGGCUCAACCCGGGAAGUGCACUCGAUACUGCGUAGCUUGAGUAUCGGAGAGGUUGGUGGAAUUCUCGGUGUAGAGGUGAAAUUCGUAGAUAUCGAGAGGAACACCUGCGGCGAAGGCGGCCAACUGGACGAAUACUGACGCUGAGACACGAAAGCGUGGGGAGCAAACAGG